rnacentral:misc_RNA from 1 species
GUUUGCGUGCUCAACAAAAAUAAAGACCCCACUUGUUCAAGACUUGUCUUCCUCCUCUCCCUCUCUUUGUUUAGUUUCAGAUCUAAAACCACCAACCCAUAUCCUUGGUUCAGUCAAAACCCACCAAGAGUUCUUUCUGGGUGUGUCAUUUGAUUCUUGAUAGACAGGAAAGAAAGGGAAGCGGGAAUGGGCUUGGUGGGUGUCCAAGAAAAUGGGAAUCGGGAGAUGGAUGUGUCUUUGGGAGGGAAGAAUAAGUACAAGAGAAUGGAUUCUGAGUUCACGGAGGAUCUUGAUGAUUCGCAUCAUCAAGAUAGGAGUUCAAGUGCUAGAAAAUAUGUUCUUGCCUGUGCCAUUUUUGCCUCUCUAAACUCUGUUCUUCUUGGCUAUGGUAAAAAAUAUCUUUCCUUUUGACUUCUGAUGAAUAAAUGGUAGUGGUUGCUAUUGCUGUUGAUAGUGUCUUAACAAUUUGUUAAUUGUUUUGAUAUUAUAUUUGAUCUGCCCUUCUUUUGGAUUCCCCAUUGGCUAUUGUGCUUAGCAGUUGGAUGCUGUUUUGUUUCUUUAUUUCUUGGGAAUUCCCUGGAAUUUCUGUAUGUCUUAUGUGCCCUUUUCUUUUUGGUUAUUUUGGAUUAUCAGAAAACUUUACUUCUAAUCUUAUGGAAUUUAUUUUGAAUAUAAUCCAUUUUACUUUAGAAUGUUAGCAAAGCAACCUAGAUGUCUGAAUUAACUAUAUAGAUUUGAAAAAUGUUAAUAUUGUUGGUUUUUUUUCUUUUUUGGUUGGGUUGUGGGGUUUGGUGGUGUCUUUCCUCAUGAUUAAGUAAUGAUAAAUAAAAAUGGUUUUUGAUUGUUGGAUGAAGUGGUUAUUAGAUUUUGUAAUACGUUGAGAGGAGGAUCAGUAAAAUUGGAUAUUAGUUUGGUUAAGACACUAGGCCACCUAAUCUUCCAUCAUGAUAAUGCAAAACUAAUUUAGAAAUCACUUUGCGCUGGUUGUAUCUAAUUUUGAUCAUCUUCUGACUCUUUUCAUCUUCAAAAUCUUGAAUUAUUCCCAGGCUUAUUUUUUAAGAGUCAUUUUGGAACAAACCCCUACAGAAAUUACAUUAUUCCUGUUUUGAACCCUCUACUUGUAGUUAUAAAAUGACAUUAUGAUCUACAGAUGUAGGUGUCAUGAGUGGAGCAAUCAUAUUCAUCCAAGAAGAUCUGAACAUAACUGAAGUGCAGGAAGAAGUUCUGGUUGGGUGUUUGAGCAUUGUAUCACUUUUUGGUAGUUUAGCUGGAGGAAGAACAUCAGAUGCUAUUGGUAGAAAAUGGACAAUGGGCUUAGCUGCUGUAGUCUUUCAAAGUGGUGCAGCUAUAAUGACACUUGCUCAUUCAUUCCAAAUACUUAUGAUAGGAAGAUUUUUGGCUGGAAUUGGAAUCGGCUUCGGAGUCAUGAUUGCCCCAGUAUAUAUUGCUGAGAUUUCACCAACUGUUGCUAGAGGCUCUCUCACUUCCUUCCCCGAGAUUUUCAUAAAUCUUGGAAUUUUACUUGGUUAUGUUUCAAAUUAUGCAUUUUCAAAUCUUCCAGUGAACACAGGUUGGAGGGUAAUGCUUGCUGUCGGAAUUUUGCCCUCAGUCUUCAUUGCAGUUGCACUUUUCAUAAUCCCUGAGUCACCGAGGUGGUUGGUCAUGCAAGAUCGAGUUGAAGAAGCAAGAUUGGUGCUCUUAAAAACAAAUGAGAAUGAGAGAGAGGUGGAGGAGAGACUUGAAGAAAUACAAAAAGCUGCAGGAAAUACCAAUGGAAACAAGUAUGAAGAAAAGGCUGUGUGGCGUGAACUUCUCAGCCCUUCUCCUGCACUUCGACGGAUGUUGGUGACUGGUUUUGGAAUUCAGUGCUUCCAACAGAUCACAGGAAUUGAUGCAACUGUUUAUUACAGCCCUGAAAUCUUCAAAGGAGCUGGGAUUCAGGAUGAAACAAAGCUUCUUGCUGCAACAGUUGCUGUGGGCGUUUCAAAGACUGUUUUCAUAUUGGUUGCUAUAUUUCUAAUUGACAAACUUGGGAGAAAGCCCUUGCUCUAUCUGAGCACGAUUGGAAUGACUAUUUGUUUGUUCAGUUUGGGGGUUACGCUCACAUUUAUUGGGGAAGGACAAGUUGGGAUUGCACUGUCAAUUUUGUUCAUUUGUGCAAAUGUAGGUUUCUUUUCAGUGGGAAUUGGUCCUAUAUGCUGGGUUGUGACAACCGAAAUAUUCCCUCUAAGGCUGCGUGCUCAGGCUGGUGCACUUGGGGCAGUGGGUAAUAGGGUGUGCAGUGGUUUGGUUGCGAUGUCUUUCCUAUCUGUUGCCCGAGCAAUUUCUAUGGGUGGAACUUUCUUUAUCUUUUCAGCAAUUUCCGCACUUUCUGUUGUCUUUGUUCAUACACUUGUCCCAGAGACAAAAGGAAAGUCGUUAGAACAGAUUGAGCAGAUGUUUCAGAAUGAAGACCAAUGGCAAGGGGGUGAAGUGGAGCUGGGAGAUGUUGAGCAUCUUGUGGAGAAAGAGUGACUCGUCCUUGAUUGGAAAGGCUAAUUAAACAAGCCUUAGCUAUCCAACUUUUGCCAGUCAGAAACUAUUAUGGUUGUUGAGGCACUAUUUGCCAAUUACCUAGAUUCUCACUGGUAUUGAAUCAGCACCUGUUAGAGUUUGCAGCCUCAAGUAUCUAUGAGUUCGCAGCAAUGGAAGCAUGUUUAACAUAAAUUAAAAUUACAUUUUUUGUAAUCCAAGUGAGAUGCAUUACUGGAAUUACUUCGAUAUGUACGUUAAGAAGUUUAUUCUCAUAGGAUUGAUUCACUUGAAUUCCAUGAGGAAAUCAUAUUGAUAAGUGAACUAUAGAAUGGAAUUUUAGGCAGUGUAUUGUUGUCUGGAAUAUUGUAAGAUGAAUCUAAAUAAAGUUCACAACUCCAAAGGAGAGAAGCUGAGACAAAUUUG